rnacentral:rRNA from 1 species
UACGAAGGUGGCAAGCGUUGUUCGGAUUUACUGGGCGUACAGGGAGCGUAGGCGGUUGGGUAAGCCCUCCGUGAAAUCUCCGGGCCUAACCCGGAAAGUGCGGAGGGGACUGCUCGGCUAGAGGAUGGGAGAGGAGACUGGAAUUUACGGUGUAGCAGUGAAAUGCGUAGAGAUCGUAAGGAAGACCAGUGGCGAAGGCGGGUCUCUGGACAGUUCCUGACACUGAGGCACGAAGGCCAGGGGAGCAAACGGG